AGAGUUUGAUCCUGGCUCAGGAUGAACGCUGGCGGCGUGCCUAACACAUGCAAGUCGAACGAUUAACCCAUUCUUCGGAAUGGUUAUAGAGUGGCGAACUGGUGAGUAACACGUAACUAACCUGCCUUGUACUUCGGGAUAACUUAAAGAAAUUUCUGCUAAUACCGAAUAAUCUUGAGAUACCGCAUGGUAACUCAAGCAGAGCGUUAUGUAGCGGUGCAAGAUGGAGUUGCGGCCAAUUAGAUAGUUGGUGGGGUAACGGCCUACCAAGUCGACGAUGGGUAGCUGAACUGAGAGGUUGAUCGGCCACAUUGGGACUGAGAUACGGCCCAGACUCCUACGGGAGGCAGCAGUGGGGAAUAUUGCGCAAUGGAGGCAACUCUGACGCAGCAACGCCGUGUGCAGGAUGACGGCCUUCGGGUUGUAAACUGCUUUCAGUAGGGAAGAAGUAAUUGACGGUACCUACACAAGAAGCUCCGGCUAACUACGUGCCAGCAGCCGCGGUAACACGUAGGGAGCAAGCGUUAUCCGGAUUCAUUGGGCGUAAAGCGCGCGCAGGCGGGUGAUUAAGCGGAUCUUUUAACCCGAGGGCUCAACCCCCGGUCGGGAUCCGAACUGGUCAUCUUGAGUGCGGUAGGGGCAGGCGGAAUUCCAUGUGUAGCGGUGAAAUGCGCAGAUAUAUGGAAGAACACCGAUGGCGAAGGCGGCCUGCUGGGCCGACACUGACGCUCAGGCGCGAAAGCUAGGGGAGCAAACAGGAUUAGAUACCCUGGUAGUCCUAGCCGUAAACGAUGGGCACUAGGUGUGGGGAGCAAAUGCUUUCCGCGCCGGCGCUAACGCAUUAAGUGCCCCGCCUGGGGAGUACGACCGCAAGGUUAAAACUCAAAGGAAUUGACGGGGACCCGCACAAGCAGCGGAGCAUGUGGCUUAAUUCGAAGCAACGCGAAGAACCUUACCAGGGCUUGACAUAUAAGUGUAGGUGUAGAGAUACACCGACUUAAGUGAGCUUAUACAGGUGGUGCAUGGCUGUCGUCAGCUCGUGUCGUGAGAUGUUGGGUUAAGUCCCGCAACGAGCGCAACCCUUGUUAUAUAUUACCAGCAUUUAGUUGGGGACUCAUAUGAGACUGCCGACGUUAAGUCGGAGGAAGGUGGGGACGACGUCAAGUCAUCAUGCCCCUUAUGUCCUGGGCUGCACACGUGCUACAAUGGUUGGUACAGAGAGCUGCCAGUCCGCGAGGACGAGCGAAUCUCCCAAAGCCAGCCUCAGUUCGGAUCGCAGGCUGAAACCCGCCUGCGUGAAGUCGGAGUUGCUAGUAAUCGCGAAUCAGCACGUCGCGGUGAAUGCGUUCCCGGGUCUUGUACACACCGCCCGUCA
rnacentral:rRNA from 1 species